CAACAAUUAACAGUGAAUAUGCCAGGGCCUGGUGGCUCACGCCUGUAAUCCCAGAACUUUGGGAAGCUGAGGAGGGUGGAUCACCUGAGGUCAGGAGUUUGAAACCAGCCUGGCCAACAUAGUGAAACUCUGUCUCUACUAAAAAUACAAAAAUUAGCCAGGCAUGGUGGCACAGCCUGUAAUCCCAGCUACUUGAGAGGCUGAGGCAUGAGAAUUGCUUGAACUCGGGAGGUAGAGGUUGUAGUGAGCUGAGAUCGUGCCACUGCACUCCAGCCUAGGUGACAGAGUGAGACUCCGUCUCCAAAAACAAACAAACAAAAAAUAGUGAAUACAACUGAAUUAAUUCUUCUUCCAUUUUCUUUUCAUGUUACAGAUGAGAAUUUUAGAAUAUGGGGUAGGAAGAGGAGAAGAGUGGCGUCAAUAUUAGAGCAAGUUAGUAGCAUCUGGGUAUCAACAGUGCACUGUAAUCUUACAGUUUAUGGAACUGCUUUCUUCAGCUAUUCACAACCUUUGAGCUCGCAAAACCACGAUUCUCUACUCUCUUACUUGCUGCGUCCUGAUUUCUGCUUCUUGUGAUUUCUGCCGCCUUGCAGAUUCUCCUGGCUGGUGGCUUGGGCCUCCUGCCUUUUUCUGGAUUUCUGACUGCUUGGCUUUUCCACCCGACAGAUGUUUUUGCUGUUGUCUGAUUAGAAGUUAGUGCAUAAGUUGGUUUUAAACCACAGAUUAGUAGAUCUUCACACAAGAUAAUACUUGGGGUUUUUAUUUGAUUUUAUUUUCUAUCCUCAUGAAUAAUUUUAUUAUUUUCAGGAUUAUAGAAGAGAUAAAACUAAGGUUUAUAUAUCUCAAAAUGUGUGGUUAAAAUAACAUAUUCUAUGUUUCCCCUAUUUUUCCCCUACCUUCCUCUAAUGGUACCUGCAUCCUGCAUUUAAACUCUCCAAGAAAGAUAAUCUGAUUUGUUUAGUUGGUCACUUUCCCAAGUAAAGUAGCCCUGUUGGCAGAGGUCUCAUGCCAUUUCACAGAUCACUGGCCAGCCUUGAGUCAGGCACUCAUCCCUGAUCCAGUUAGCUGUGGUCAGAGUAAUAAGGUCACAUGGUCAGCUCUUCUUAAAAAACAGAAACCAUGGACCAGUCAAGCAUUUAGAACACAAAACCUUCCUCUCUGUUACAUAGCCACAUUCCUAGUUGGCGAAUUGAGGCUUUGGGAAUAGCCCAUUGUAAAAUAUAAUCUGAUACGUCAUUGCCUGACUCAGGUGUCUGGAUUCACUUGGUGAUAGCUCUGGACAUGCACAAAACUCACAUUCUCCUACUCCACUAGGUAUUUAUCACUGUGGCCUUACGGUAGAAAUGCAGAUAUGGCUGGGCUAUUCCAAGCGUACAAACUACUACUACUCUAUUCCAGAGAGGCUGGAUAUAUAAUAAAGAUUCAUGAACUUUAUUUCAAGUGCUAGCUAAAAACAAGACAAUAAAGUCAGCUGAAGGAUUCCAUAGAUAUAAGAAAAUCACAGGCCUAGAGCUUUUAGACCAGGGAAUCAAUUACCUGCAGGGUUCCUUGAGAAACCAUGCAUUAUUAUUUACAGAAGGAUAUCAAUUGAUUGUUAUGAUCUGCACUUUAAAGAACAUGAAGCCUUGAUUUACAGGCACCUGUUUUCUCACAAUGAAUAAGAAAUGCUGGUAUUCACUGUGUUCAUGAGACAGGAAAAAUUAUUCAACAUGUGUCAUGAUGGUCAUCUUACAGGAAAAUCUAAAUGAAUAAUUAUUUUUCUGAACACUAGCUAUUAAAUAUAUUGCAUGGAUCAUGAAACUCCUUUUCAAAAAGUAUUGCUCCUUACAAAGAGAAGAUUCAAAGUUUAUAUUCUGUAAAGUAUUUCUACUGGCAUUAUUGUGAAUACAUACU
rnacentral:lncRNA from 1 species